AUUGAACGCUGGCGGCAGGCCUAACACAUGCAAGUCGAACGGUAGCACAGAGGAGCUUGCUCCUUGGGUGACGAGUGGCGGACGGGUGAGUAAUGUCUGGGAAACUGCCCGAUGGAGGGGGAUAACUACUGGAAACGGUAGCUAAUACCGCAUAACGUCUUCGGACCAAAGUGGGGGACCUUCGGGCCUCACACCAUCGGAUGUGCCCGGAUGGGAUUAGCUAGUAGGUGGGGUAAUGGUUCACCUAGGCGACGAUCCCUAGCUGGUCUGAGAGGAUGACCAGGCACACUGGAACUGAGACACGGUCCAGACUCCUACGGGAGGCAGCAGUGGGGAAUAUUGCACAAUGGGCGCAAGCCUGAUGCAGCCAUGCCGCGUGUAUGAAGAAGGCCUUCGGGUUGUAAAGUACUUUCAGCGGGGAGGAAGGCGAUGUGGUUAAUAACCGCAUUGAUUGACGUUACCCGCAGAAGAAGCACCGGCUAACUCCGUGCCAGCCGCCGCGGUAA
rnacentral:rRNA from 1 species